CUUUCGGAAAGUGUAUAGAGUGGCGCACGGGUGAGUAACACGUAGGUUAUCUACCUCCGAGUGGGGAAUAACAACCGGAAACGGUUGCUAAUACCGCAUAAUACCGAAAGGUCAAAGCUUUAGUGCUUGGAGAGGAGCCUGCGGCAGAUUAGCUAGUUGGUAAGGUAAUGGCUUACCAAGGCGACGAUCUGUAUCCGGUCUAAGAGGACGGUCGGACACACUGACACUGAAUAACGGGUCAG
rnacentral:rRNA from 1 species